UUCCCUUGAACCAGAGAACAAAGUAUCUACUAUAGUCAGAACCACAAUGAUGCAUUCAAGAUAAUUAUGGCUGUAAGCACCAAAGCUUAAACUGUUAAAGACCAUAAUGAUUUACAGGUUUAUAGUAGUUUUGUACCAGUAGAUGCUAGCCUGGAACAAAACAUACAUAUUUUAAAGACUAGCAUCUUGUGUCAAUUGAAGUACUUCCCCCUUUUCUUGCCUUUCUUCUUAACAUGAAUAAGAUAAUUCUUAAAACAUAAAAGAUACUGACAGAAACAUAUUUAUAAAUGUAUCCAGUGUACUAGUGAUGAAUAAAAUCCCCUCCUUUUCCACAAUUCUAAGGGCUCAUUAAUUUAUCUGUAUUCAUGUAAUGCAUGUCCAGAUUUCUGUUAGGGAGCUACCAUUUGAUUUUUAUGUGGGGGGCUAGGAUGAAAUUUGAAAAAAAUAGGCAGGACAGGAGUUUUGAGUAAAAAAAAAAGGCAGGAUGACAAUUUAGGUAAAAAAAGUCAGGAUAAACUAAUAAAAAAAAAGGCAGGACCGAAUAGAUGAAAAGAAAAA
rnacentral:lncRNA from 1 species